rnacentral:rRNA from 1 species
AUUGAACGCUGGCGGCAUGCUUUACACAUGCAAGUCGAACGGCAGCGGGGGCUUCGGCCUGCCGGCGAGUGGCGAACGGGUGAGUAAUGCAUCGGAACGUGCCCAGUCAUGGGGGAUAAACUACGCGAAAGCGUAGCUAAUACCGCAUACGCCCUGAGGGGGGAAAGCGGGGGGAUCGCAAGACCUCGCGUGAUUGGAGCGGCCGAUGUCGGAUUAGCUAGUUGGUGGGUAAAGGCCUACCAAGGCGACGAUCCGUAGCGGGUCUGAGAGGAUGAUCGCCACACUGGGACUGAGACACGGCCCAGACUCCUACGGAGGCAGCAGUGGGGAAUUUGGACAAUGGGGGCAACCCUG